UAAGGUACUUCUGUUCUGGUGUUAAUGAUUGCAGGUGGCAGUGAAACUCCUUUGGUUUCUAUUACUUACCCAGGUGUAAAGGAGGAAAGAAUCAGUCUGAUUGCCUUCUUUUUCUCGUAAAGCAGUCACUUGUUUGCUGUGGGGCAUAUGAAAUGCAGGCCUUGUGUACUAAAUUGUAUGAAUAACACCUGACACUUUAUGUUACCAAUAACAGAAAGCUGUUGUUCAUAGUUCAGAUUCAUUUGCUGCCAUUUUGGAAGUUUGGGUCUGCAAACUUCGAUCUUUAUUUGGUGAAGUGUUUUAAUUUCUGCUCCAUUUAAAGUCCAUUUUUUCCUGGUGCGGUUAUUUGUGUGCUUAAAGAAUGGUUUAUAUAAUGCCAAAACCAGAUUCUGCUGUGUGAUCUGCGCUUGACAAUCCAGGCAGAACUCGAAUCUCAACAACUAUAUCCUCUCUAUAACAAGUGGCUUUGAUGAACAAAAUGAAAGAGUAAUUAAAGGUGGACUAUACAUGUCUGAGCUUUCUGCAUGGAACUGUUUGUCAUCACCACUUGUAACAAGGACUAUUGGAUUCUUACAUGAAAAACAAGUCUCAGGGGAUUCUCCAAUGCACUUACACAUUGAGUUCAAUAUUGCUUAGCUGAGGAGCUGUGAUCAGCUGAACUACUCAACUGUGUUGACUGAAGCAAGACCUGCAGAUAGGAGGAGUGACAGAGCAUUUUCAGAAGCUGUGCUUGGGAGAAAGGGAGUUGAUAUGACCUAGGAUUUUUUUUUUCUUUAAUUUGCACAUGCCCUUGCCUGUUACUUUAAUAAGAUGUCCAGUAUUUGCAGCACUAAUAUCACUGGAAGUUUCCAAGUGACCUGUGUAGUUCACUAUUUUGUUCAGAGACUAUCCCAUCUCUUGUUUCACUGCUCUCCUGAGUUUUCC